rnacentral:rRNA from 1 species
GACGAACGCUGGCGGCGUGCUUAACACAUGCAAGUCGAACGGAAAGGCCCUGCUUUUGUGGGGUGCUCGAGUGGCGAAAGGGUGAGUAACACGUGAGUAACCUGCCCUUGACUUUGGGAUAACUUCAGGAAACUGGGGCUAAUACCGGAUAGGAGCUCCUGCUGCAUGGUGGGGGUUGGAAAGUUUCGGCGGUUGGGGAUGGACUCGCGGCUUAUCAGCUUGUUGGUGGGGUAGUGGCUUACCAAGGCUUUGACGGGUAGCCGGCCUGAGAGGGUGACCGGCCACAUUGGGACUGAGAUACGGCCCAGACUCCUACGGGAGGCAGCAGUGGGGAAUAUUGCACAAUGGGCGGAAGCCUGAUGCAGCAACGCCGCGUGCGGGAUGACGGCCUUCGGGUUGUAAACCGCUUUCGCCUGUGACGAAGCGUGAGUGACGGUAAUGGGUAAAGAAGCACCGGCUAACUACGU